rnacentral:rRNA from 1 species
CGGGUGAGUAACGCGUAUCCAACUGCCCACCACUUGGGGAUAACCUUGCGAAAGUAAGACUAAUACCCGAUGAUAUCUCUUAGACGACAUCUGAAAGGGAUUAAAGAUUUAUCGGUGAUGGAUGGGGAUGCGUCUGAUUAGCUUGUUGGCGGGGUUAAACGGGCCCACCAAGGCAACGAUCAGUAGGGGGUUCUGAGAGGAAGGUCCCCCACAUUGGAACUGAGACACGGUCCAAACUCCUACGGGAGGCAGCAGUGAGGAAUAUUGGUCAAUGGGCGAGAGCCUGAACCAGCCAAGUAGCGUGCAGGACGACGGCCCUAUGGGUUGUAAACUGCUUUAUAAGGGAAUAAAGUGAGUCUCGUGAGACUUUUGCAUGUACCUUAUGAAUAAGGACCGGCUAAUUCCGUG